rnacentral:rRNA from 1 species
UACGUAGGGGGCAAGCGUUGUCCGGAUUUAUUGGGCGUAAAGAGCGUGUAGGCGGCCAGGUAGGUCCGGUGUGAAAACUCGAGGCUUAACCUCGAGAUGUCAUCGGAAACCAUCUGGCUAGAGUCCGGAAGAGGAGAGUGGAAUUCCUGGUGUAGCGGUGAAAUGCGCAGAUAUCAGGAAGAACACCAAUGGCGAAGGCAGCUCUCUGGGACGGUACUGACGCUGAGACGCGAAAGCGUGGGGAGCGAACAGG